UUGGUUCUGUAUUAUUUGAUGGGGGUGACGAUUCCCACUGAGUUAUGUUUUUGUGUGGGUGAAUUUAGUGGGUGUGGCACUUGGUGGAAAUGUGGGUGGAUAUGUUAGAAUUGUAGGUUGCACAAUAAAUGUAAUUGAAACAGGACACUUGGUUUCAGUUGAAGUCAAUAUAUUUUACAUUAGGAAAAUUGAGACGAAUUACAAUUGUGUUGGUCAGAAAGAUAAUGAAUUUGAGUCAAAAUAGAUAAAAGUACAUUGAAUGAGAGAGGCUCAAGACUGACAAGAAAUCACAUAAGAGCAUCACCCGAGAAUGGGUAUUGCACCCUUAUUUAUAGUUUUAGUGAAUGAGGAAAAAGGUGCACGAAAAUUAGUGUACAUAAAUAGACUUCGUGGAAACAUGUUACAAAACUUGGUUCAUGGAAAGAAAAAAGGUUCACUUAAUUGUUAAAUUAACUUAACCAAAAUUGUUAUGCGUCAGCAAGUUAAAUGCAUUAAGAUUAUAGAAUGUUGAACUUGAAUGAUAAUUUUACAAAAAUGACAAACUGAACAUUAUUCAAGUGUGAAUAUUUUUAGUUAAAAAUAACAAAUGCUUAAAGUAUACUCAUCGAAUAUUGGCAUCCCGAGUCAAUCCAAUACUUGUUUAAUAUUAUUUUAGUAUUAUAUUUAUAUAAUAAAUUUAGCUCCUCCCAGAAGCUCAGAUUUGGUGGGAAAACUAUACUACACUUUAUCCCCAUUCCUUGCCUCUGCGAGUAGUUGUUUCGCAAUUAAAUCUUGUCUGAAAUUAUUGGAGAAAAAAUUUUCCGUUGUAAUUUUUCCUAACGAAGGAACAGUGGAGGCCGUUCUAACAAUUUGGGUCAAUCUUGCCAAGAAUAGUUGUCAGUAUCCUGAUUUGGAAAAAAUCACUGCAGCAAAUUUACGAAAAUUUAUUAGUAGUAGGCCCUCCUAAAACCAGACUGGAAAUCCUACAAUUGCAAAGUUUUGGUACAGUCAGAAAAUUUAAUAGAUGCAAGACACAAGGCCAAUCUUGCCCAAGAUACAUCAGGGGUUGAGUCAGAAUCCACACCCACCGCGAUCACCCGUGCCACAGAAGGCAGCGCCCAUUACCAGCUCCAGUUCUGAUGAUGAAAUACCAAUCCCUGCGGAUGUAAAUACUUCCGCACUUACUCGCUUUAGCAUUCCUGAGGAAAAUCUACAUCUUGGUGAGCAGGAUCCACUGGUCCAUGACAACUUCCCAAACUCACUACUUCACCAUAUCAGAGGGGAGUGGUUUCUCACACAACCAUGCCAAUGAUAGCGAAAUUUUGCCACUUGAUCCUGUCCAAGUUCAAUAUCUCUCAUUGCUUACAUCUACUCUUCCGGCGAAAGCUGCUUUCACCAACUUUAAGAAUUUGGAACUUGCAUUGAAAAGUACGAAUUUUUUGUAUUAUACAUAUUUGUAGAUGUUUUUAUUUAUUUUCAAUAUCAGAGAAGUAGGCAAAAUUGAGUAUGAAAUCAAGACGGAGCUAUAUUUUUUAUUAAAAUAUUUGAGCGUAAAGAACCAUAUUUUACCUUUCCUGUAGAUAGUAGCUUGUUAAACAUUUUUCGUGUAUGCAAACUCUCAAUUUGUUCCAUUCCUUUUCCCCAAACAUCAAUAGCUCGAAAAUGUGUUCUGUUACCCCUAGAACUAAAUAAUUUUGUUAUUUUUGCUAUGUAAUAAUUACUUAGAACAGUAACGUAAAUGUGUCUGGUAUUGUAAAGGUUUGUAUGUAAUUAUAGCUUUCUUUCUAGA